GGGUCAGUAGGUUGGUCGUGCCACCGGUACGUACUGGUCUCACUGAUUCCUCCUUCUUGAAGAACCGUAAUGCCAUUAAUUUGGUGUUGCGGGGAAACAGGACUGUUACUUUGAAAAAAUUAGAGUGUUUAGAGCAAGCUAACGCUUGAAUACAUUAGCAUGGAAUAAUGAAAUAGGACGAUCGAUCCUAUUUUGUUGGUUUCUAGGAUUGACGUA
rnacentral:rRNA from 1 species